AUACGGAGGGGGCAAGCGUUGUUCGGAAUUACUGGGCGUAAAGCGCGCGUAGGCGGGCUGGUUAGUUGGGGGUGAAAUCCCAGGGCUUAACCCUGGAACUGCCUCCAAUACUGCCAGUCUAGAGUUCGAGAGAGGUGAGUGGAAUUCCUAGUGUAGAGGUGAAAUUCGUAGAUAUUAGGAAGAACACCAGUGGCGAAGGCGGCUCACUGGCUCGAUACUGACGCUGAGGUGCGAAAGCGUGGGGAGCAAACAGGAUUAGAAACCCGAGUAGUCC
rnacentral:rRNA from 1 species